rnacentral:lncRNA from 1 species
CUGGCUCACCCAUGGUCACACCUCUAGGCUUGGGAGCCUCAGUCUCCUGUCCUCCGAAUGUGGCAAACAGCAGCCAAGUGGCAGAAGGUCUCUGUGUGUAUGGUGUUGAAUGAAAUCCUCCCGUAUUUACGGAAAGUGCCUCUUCUGCUGGAGUGAGCAACUGUUAUGACGGUGUUGAAUGGAUCGAAGAAAAGGUAGUUUUCUCACACGAGCUGUCGCAGAGCAACUCCUCCUUCUUCCUGCACAUCUGCCUGAAGCGGCAUCCUCAAGGAAUUGCCCCAUGCUCAGUCAAGGACAGACUUUGCCAUCGUUUGGGUUCAGAAUGUACUUCAGAGGCCCAUGUACUGAGGACACGGUCCUCAGCUUGACCUUACCAGGAUGUAACCCAACCUUCAUGAGGUGGACCCUGCUGGAAGAUUUUAAGUGACUGUAGGAUUCUGGGCUCUUCCUUUUUCUGUCUUUGCUUCCCAGCCCCGACACAGUGAGCCGCUCACUGCACCGUGCACACCACCUGUGAUGUGCUGCCUCUGACUGUGACAGUAAGGAGAAAUGACUAGCUCGGACUCGCUUGGCUUUCACUGUGGAUUUCUGUCACAUGUGAUGUUCACAGUGACCAAUCCUCAGGCAGUGCGUACUAUGUUUACACAUGUUCAUGGUACAAAAUUGAGAACAGAAAUAAUUUACGUUUACUUCUCAGAAAGGACACUAGAUUUCAUAAUAAAAACCCCUAAAUAAUAUGGAUGCACUUGGUGGUGUCUAUAGACAAAGGCAAACUUAUCUGGUAACCUAAUCCUGAUAAGUUAUCC